rnacentral:rRNA from 1 species
CGAGCGCAACCCUCGCCGUAUGUUACAAGUGUCAUACGGGACUGCCGGUAAAAAGCGGAGGAAGGUGAGGAUGAUGUCAAGUCAGCAUGACCUUUAUAUCCAGGGCUACACACACGCUACAAUGGUCUGUACAAUUGGUUGCCAAGCCGCGAGGCGGAGCCAAUCCGUAAAGCAGGCCUCAGUUCAGAUUGCAGUCUGCAACUCGACUGCAUGAAGCCGGAGUUGCUAGUAACCGCAGGUCAGCAAUACUGCGGUGAAUACGUUCCCGGGUCUU